rnacentral:lncRNA from 10 species
GUGCAAUCAGGGCCUGCUUGGCCUCUUGAAUGAGCAUGGCGGAGCCCUCCAUCACGUCUCGAGCAGAAUCUAACAUGGCAUGGGCGGCCGCGGGGUCGGUUGUCGAUGCAGCCACUCCACGGGCGGCCUGGGCCAGUGUUUUCAGAGCUUGGGCCGUCUCUCUAGCAGCCACCCCUGGGGGAAAAAGUCCAUCAGAUUUCCAAUUAGACUCCAUCUAAAUGGCACAUUUUACUUAGGAAUAAGCUUCUGGACCAGGGCCUGGCACAGAAGGGGAGCUGCAGAUUAGUCUUCAUAAAAUUUGAAUUGCUGUGUUUCUCAAAGAAGUAGCUGGCUUCAGAAACAUAUCCCCCUGGCUCUGGGCCAAACCAAGAGACACAUUAAUAACAAAUGCAAUACUAAAGACUUCUUCCCCCUGACUUCCCUUGCUCCCACUGCCCCACUGUCCCUAGACCUAGAACACCAAGUGCAUGGCAGUGAGUACACAGAUGGAAUUACCUGCACAUGUUUGCGGGAGGCCAUUUAAAAGCACCUUUCUUCUCAAUUGCCUUUCUGGGGCAUAACUUACAGUACACUACAGUGAACAAGUCUACAUGUGCAGCUCCGUGAAUUGGUACAUAUGGAUACAGCCACAUAUCCACCAUCAGUUGUGCCAGUCAAUGCUCCCUUCAUACCAGAAGUAAUCACCAUUCUAACGUCUAUUACCUUAGACUACUUUUACUGUUUUUUUUUUUUUUUUGAGACAGAGUCUCUGUCGCCCAGGCUGGAGUGCAGUGGCGCGAUCUUGGCUCACUGCAAGCUCUGCCUCCCAGGUUCACGCCAUUCUCCUGCCUCAGCCUCCCAAGUAUCUGGGACUACAGAUGCCCAUCACCACGCCCGGCUAAUUUUUUUGUAUUUUCUUUUUUUAGUAGAGACGGGGUUUCACUGUGUUAGCCAGGAUGGUCUCGAUCUCCUGACCUCAUGAUCUGCCCACCUCGGCCUCCCAAAGUGCUGGGAUUACAGGCGUCAGCCACUGCGCCCAGCCUUUUACCUGUUCUUAAACUUCAUGUUAACAGAACCACAUAUAUAUAUUCUUUUGUGUCUGCUUUCUUUCUCUGACCAUAAUGCUGUGAGAUUCAGCUAAGUUGUGAUGUCUGGCAGUUCAUUCUUUUUUCUUGCUAUAUAGUAUUCCACUAUACAAAUAUGCCAAUAUUUGUUGACCCAUUCUCCUGUUGAUGGACUUUUGGGUUGUUUCCUGUUUGGGGCUGUUAUAAAUGAAUCUAACAAGAAAGUUCUUAUAUAUAUAUUCAAGUGGCCAUAUGGGAUCACUUCUCUUAGAUAUAAACCUAGGAGGUGAACUGCUAGGUCAUACAGUAAGUAUAUAUUUAGCUUUAGAAGAUACUACAAAAACAGUUUUCCAAAAUGACUUUACCAUUACACAUUCCACUGGCAAUCUGUAAGAACUGCAGUUGCUCUACAUCCUAGCCAACACCAGGUAGCAUCGGAUUUUAAUUUAAUCAUUCUGAUGCAUGUGUAGCUGCAUCUCAAUGAGGUUUUAACUUUUAUGUCCUUAAUGGGUAAUGAUGUUGAGCAUCUUUGCAUGUACUUAAUGGCCAUUUAGAUAUCCUCUUUUGUGAAGUGCCUCCUUCUCUUUAAAUUUGCAUCUAAACAGAUGAUGGGAUUUGGUGAUAAACGAUGAAUAUAAACUAGUCCUUUA